GCCUUCAGAACUAAGUGCUUCAUACUGUGUAAACUUCAUUUUUAUCAACAGGAGAGUGUUGCUAUCAUCAAAUCUAAAAUUCCAACCUAUUGUUCCAUCUCCUCUUGAACGAGAGACCCAUCUAGUCAUUUACACUGCAUGGUGUGGUUGUGGGCGUCAGAAGCUGACUGUGGAUGCUGUUGGAAUUUCCUUUUGUAAACAGACCACUGAAACAGAUAUUAGACUGUCUAGAUAUUCCUGCAUUCUGAGCACUGAAGUGAGAUGGACGCUUCAAAAGACCAUUAUCUCCUUUUUUCCUCAGUAAAACCGGAAUUUCCCAUGGAAUAUCUAGAGAUGCAAGUAAAAAAACUGACAAAGUCCAUACCAUCUUUUAUAUUUCCUGUGCAGCUUUUGGGAGACAAGGUGUUUAUAAAUUGUUGCUCAUGGAUAGACAUGCUUUUCCUAGUCUUGUUUACCUCUUCUCUCAUAUACCAAAAGGGCAAUACAUUGACUCUUAUAGUUGAUUUUCCUAAUGUCCUUUCCCCUAUCCAAGAAAACCCAAAUAGAGCUGGUAUGUCCAUUGAAAUCUACUGUACUUUACUGUAUUUAUUGGUAGACAGAAUUGAUGGUUUUAGUUUGUUACAGUUCUUUUCUCAAGAAAAUCAAUCUGCAUGAUCUAAUCAAUUGUUGCUAGCCCUUUUCCCAGUUUGGAUCUCAACACUGGAUCUAAUGUAGUUAUGACACCCUCUGUAUGUACCAUGUUCCUCUAAUAGCUUGUAACCUUGUACAGUGUACAAAUAACAAGUAGCUUUGGUGUUUUCUGUAAUUUUAUUAUGAAAAAAU
rnacentral:lncRNA from 1 species